rnacentral:sRNA from 3 species
ACACCCGUUUUAUUGCUGUUAUGGGUUUGAACCGGAGCUUAGCCUUGUUCAUUUUUUUACACAAUAGCGAUGUAAAAAAUCUAACACGGCUCGCUGAGCGCCGCGCCAGACAAGGGCGCCAAGGGGGUUAAGAUGCCCUGAAACGCCCUAAAAAUGGCCACUGCGCCCCGUUUCAGGGCAA